AGUUAUACCGUGAAACUGCGAAUGGCUCAUUAAAUCAGUUAUUGUUUAUUUGAUAGUACCUUACUACUUGGAUAACCGUGGUAAUUCUAGAGCUAAUACAUGCUAAAAGCCCCGACUUCGGAAGGGGUGUAUUUAUUAGAUAAAAAACCAAUGCCCUUUGGGGCUCCUUGGUGAUUCACAAUAACUUAACGAAUCGCAUGGCCUUGUGCCGGCGAUGGUUCAUUCAAAUUUCUGCCCUAUCAACUUUCGAUGGUAGUGUAUUGGACUACCAUGGUUUCAACGGGUAACGGGGAAUUAGGGUUCUAUUCCGGAGAGGGAGCCUGAGAAACGGCUACCACAUCCAAGGAAGGCAGCAGGCGCGCAAAUUACCCAAUCCCGACACGGGGAGGUAGUGACAAUAAAUACUGAUACAGGGCUCUUUUGGGUCUUGUAAUUGGAAUGAGUACAAUUUAAAUCCCUUAACGAGGAACAAUUGGAGGGCAAGUCUGGUGCCAGCAGCCGCGGUAAUUCCAGCUCCAAUAGCGUAUAUUAAAGUUGUUGCAGUUAAAAAGCUCGUAGUUGAACCUUGGGCCUGGCUGGCCGGUCCGCCUCAUCGCGUGCACUGGUCCGGCCGGGCCUUUCCUCCUGGAGAGCCGCAUGCCCUUCGCUGGGUGUGUCGGGGAACCAGGACUUUUACUUUGAAAAAAUUAGAGUGUUCAAAGCAGGCCUAUGCUCGAAUACAUUAGCAUGGAAUAAUAGAAUAGGACGUGUGGUUCUAUUUUGUUGGUUUCUAGGACCGCCGUAAUGAUUAAUAGGGAUAGUCGGGGGCAUCAGUAUUCAAUUGUCAGAGGUGAAAUUCUUGGAUUUAUUGAAGACUAACUACUGCGAAAGCAUUUGCCAAGGAUGUUUUCAUUAAUCAAGAACGAAAGUUAGGGGAUCGAAGACGAUCAGAUACCGUCGUAGUCUUAACCAUAAACUAUGCCGACUAGGGAUCGGGCGAUGUUAUUUUUUUGACUCGCUCGGCACCUUACGAGAAAUCAAAGUC
rnacentral:rRNA from 1 species